UCUAGCCAGAAGCGGUAGACAAAUUGAUUCUAAAAGUCCUCCAGUAGGGGUGGAGAGGAUUCCUUUCCUGCCUCCGCAUCAGGAGCUUGCAAGCGCAAGUGGCUCCGCAAAAGCUUCUGGCUCCUCAGGGAAGCAGCUGAAGGUGGCAACCCCGGGUGCUCCUGGGCCCACUGUCACUUUGAUGAACGAAGCUGGCACCCUGCUCCAGCAGCAAUUCUGAGAGGAAAGGGACCUUCCAGCGUGCUCCCCUCCCUCCGGUUCUUGGUUGUUUAGAAGUCUUGGAUUAGAGUUGCUUCCUAGAGCAGUUUGCAUGUUAACAGCACCUGGAAAAGAUCCCAGAAGCAACACCUCUGGGUGCCCACAGCCAGGGAAACCUACUGUUGUUGCUAAAGGAAAAGGGAAGAUGGAUGCUUUGUUGCCUAGGUCGCUUUAAUUUGAGCCUGCUGGGCAGCCUGACACCCUCUCCUGUGGCAUCGGAUGCUGUUCUGGAGAUCUGAACCAGACUCCUCUGCCAGAUCUUCAAAUAGCCUCAUUGGUGGGACCUCCCUCCUCCAGCAGCACAACCGCCAACAGUUCUGGGCCAGCCUCCUUCCGGAGCUCUCACGCCCCACCUCCUGCCAGCCUGCUUGGGAUCCUAUUUGCUCUGGUUCGGAGGUGGGGAGAGGCCCUGUCAGUUCUUCAGCGCUUACAGGCUAGGAGUAUCUGGAUGUCACAGGACAGCGACCGUGCCCAGGAAUGAGUGACAAUUGAUUAUUUUCCGUAAAAUCGGGAUAACAGUUAUGUCUCAGGAUUGAAUGUACAUAAAAGGCUUAACAGGGU
rnacentral:lncRNA from 1 species